rnacentral:misc_RNA from 1 species
AAAGUCGUAACAAGGUAACCGUAGGUGAACCUGCGGUUGGAUCAUUACUGAUUUCAAUCUCUGUCGAGUUGAUACCGAAAGGAGUCCUUGACAGGGAUGAUACACCCCAUGUGAACUGUAUUGUUUUUGGGUUGUUGGAAGACUUCUGUCAACCAGCGGCCCGUCAAUAAACCCCUUAAUAUUUAUCUGAAUCCUAUGAAAAUAGAAACAACUUUUGACAACGGAUCUCUAGGCUCUC